ACAGGAUUAGAUACCCUGGUAGUCCACGCCGUAAACGAUGUCGACUUGGAGGCUGUUCCCUUGAGGAGUGGCUUCCGGAGCUAACGCGUUAAGUCGACCGCCUGGGGAGUACGGCCGCAAGGUUAAAACUCAAAUGAAUUGACGGGGGCCCGCACAAGCGGUGGAGCAUGUGGUUUAAUUCGAUGCAACGCGAAGAACCUUACCUACUCUUGACAUCCAGAGAACUUUCCAGAGAUGGAUUGGUGCCUUCGGGAACUCUGAGACAGGUGCUGCAUGGCUGUCGUCAGCUCGUGUUGUGAAAUGUUGGGUUAAGUCCCGCAACGGGCGCAACCCUUAUCCUUUGUUGCCAGCGAUUCGGUCGGUAACUCAAAGGAGACUGCCGGUGAUAAACCGGAGGAAGGUGGGGAUGACGUCAAAUCAUCAUGGCCCUUACGAGUAGGGCUACACACGUGCUACAAUGGCGCAUACAAAGAGAAGCGACCUCGCGAGAGCAAGCGGACCUCAUAAAGUGCGUCGUAGUCCGGAUCGGAGUCUGCAACUCGACUCCGUGAAGUCGGAAUCGCUAGUAAUCGUGGAUCAGAAUGCCACGGUGAAUACGUUCCCGGGCCUUGUACACACCGCCCGUCACACCAUGGGAGUGGGUUGCAAAAGAAGUAGGUAGCUUAACCUUCGGGAGGGCGCUUACCACUUUGUGAUUCAUGACUGGGGUGAAGUCGUAACAAGGUACC
rnacentral:rRNA from 1 species